rnacentral:rRNA from 1 species
UACGUAGGGGGCAAGCGUUAUCCGGAUUUACUGGGUGUAAAGGGGGCGCAGACGGCGAUGCAAGCCAGGAGUGAAAGCCCGGGGCCCAACCCCGGGACUGCUCUUGGAACUGCGUGGCUGGAGUGCAGGAGGGGCAGGCGGAAUUCCUGGUGUAGCGGUGAAAUGCGUAGAUAUCGGGAGGAACACCAGUGGCGAAGGCGGCCUGCUGGACAUUAACUGACGCUGAGGCGCGAAAGCGUGGGGAGCAGACAGG